AUUUCUGGUGUAAAAAUUUAUCAGAUUGGAAUAGUCGGCUUCAAAAGUGACAAUAAAGAAAACACAUAAAUUUUGCACUGCUUUAUACACAAUGCAUUCACGUGUCAUGUACCAUUGGAUGAAAGUCAUAGUAAAUCUACUAGACAGUCUAAAACAAUUUCCUCUUAAAGUCAGAUGUCUUUGGUUUUGAUAAACAACACACAAUCACUGUAUACCUUUUCCAUUUUAAUUAACUUGCAUGCAGAUUAUUGUGAAUUUACACGUACUUCUCUGGAUGAUGAAGUCUGUCUUAAAGUUGCUGUGAUUUAUUUCAUAACAACGAGUAUGCUAAGCCUAGUACAUGUAAGAUUUGUUUCAACAUUGGGUUUUUUUUCCCUCAAAUAAAACACAAAUCUCU
rnacentral:misc_RNA from 1 species